AUUGAACGCUGGCGGCAGGCCUAACACAUGCAAGUCGAGCGGAGCGGCGGACGGGUGAGUAAUGCCUAGGAAUCUGCCCGGUAGCGGGGGAUAACGUCCGGAAACGGGCGCUAAUACCGCAUACUAUCAGAUGAGCCUAGGUCGGAUUAGCUAGUUGGUGGGGUAAAGGCCUACCAAGGCGACGAUCCGUAACUGGUCUGAGAGGAGGAUCAGUCACACUGGAACUGUGACACGGUCCAGACUCCUACGGGAGGCAGCAGGGGGGAAUAUUGGACAAUGGGCGAAAGCCUGAUGCAGCCAUGCCGCGUGUAUGAAGAAGGCCUUCGGGUUGUAAAGUACUUUCGGUAGGGAAGCGUUACCGACAGAAGAAGCACCGGCUAACUCCGUGCCAGCAGCCGCGGUAAUUC
rnacentral:rRNA from 1 species